AUUGAACGCUGGCGGCAUGCCUUACACAUGCAAGUCGAACGGUAACGGGUCCUUCGGGAUGCCGACGAGUGGCGAACGGGUGAGUAAUAUAUCGGAACGUGCCCAGUAGUGGGGAUAACUGCUCGAAAGAGCAGCUAAUACCGCAUACGACCUGAGGGUGAAAGGGGGGGAUCGCAAGACCUCUCGCUAUUGGAGCGGGCGAUAUCAGAUUAGCUAGUUGGUGGGGUAAAGGCCUACCAAGGCAACGAUCUGUAGUUGGUCUGAGAGGACGACCAGCCACACUGGGACUGAGACACGGCCCAGACUCCUACGGGAGGCAGCAGUGGGGAAUUUUGGACAAUGGGCGCAAGCCUGAUCCAGCAAUGCCGCGUGCAGGAAGAAGGCCUUCGGGUUGUAAACUGCUUUUGUCAGGGAAGAAAUCUUCUGGGCUAAUACCCCGGGAGGAUGACGGUACCUGAAGAAUAAGCACCGGCUAACUACGUGCCAGCAGCCGCAGUAA
rnacentral:rRNA from 1 species